GUAAGGAGGCUGCACCAGACUAGCACUAGAAUCUCACUUGCCCCCACGUAGACCGAAGGACCCCCAGUGUCCUUUGCGCCUUCCCGGCCCGCUGCCUACAUUUCCCAGGAGGCCCCGCCCCGCGUGCGGUCGGGGCCCAGAGCGUCCGGGGCGCGCGCGGUAGUCAGGAGUCUCAGAGGUCGGGAGUCUCAAAGGCUGCCGAAGACACGAAGACACGUCAUCAGGGGGACACCGGACCUAUGCAGGAAACCUGAACCUACUUUACCCAGACCCCAUAAGGGCAUAAGCAGUUAUCACUCCAUACCAAUUUCACCACUAAUAUGCCCUAAUACCUAUCAUCCCCUAUGGACACCCAACCGCUGACCCCUCCCCUCUUAAAAAGCCCGCUUGCCCUCCCCAGCGCCGGACUUCCCAGGCCCGCAAUUCCCCGCUCUCCCUCCCCUGCGGGCCACAGAACCUCGCCUGAGAGCGCAUCCCAUUAAAAGCCUGUUUUGGCCAA